rnacentral:rRNA from 1 species
AAUGAACGUUGGCGGCAUGGAUUAGGCAUGCAAGUCGAGCGAGAAGGAAAUCAAAGUUUACUUUGGUUUCCGGAAAGCGGCGAAAGGGAGAGUAACGCGUAGUUAUCUACCCCAAGGCCCGGAAUAGCUGCGGGAAACUGCAGGUAAUGCCGGAUAAUAUCCCCGGAUCAAAGGUGUGAUUCCGCCUUGGGAGGAGACUGCGUUGUACUAGCUUGUUGGUAGGGUAAUGGCCUACCAAGGCUACGAUGCAUAGCGGGCGUGAGAGCGGGGCCCGUCUCCCCGGGACUGAAACACUGCCCAGACACCUACGGGUGGCUGCAGUCGAGAAUCUUCGGCAAUGGGCGAAAGCCUGACCGAGCGAUGCUGCGUGCGGGAUGAAGGCCCUCGGGUUGUAAACCGCUGUCGUAGGGGAGAAAGGACCGUUGAAGAGACGGUUUUGAUCUAUCCUAGGAGGAAGUCCGGGCUAAGUUCGUGCCAGCCGCCGCGGUAA